CACGUAGGGGACGAGCGUUGUCCGGAUUCAUUGGGCGUAAAGCGCGCGUAGGCGGCCCGGCAAGUCGGAUGUGAAAACCUGGGGCUCAACCCCAGGCGUGCACCCGAUACUCCCGGGCUGGAGGCAGGUAGGGGAGAUCGGAAUUCCUGGUGUAGCGGUGAAAUGCGCAGAUAUCAGGAGGAACACCGGUGGCGAAGGCGGAUCUCUGGGCCUUGCCUGACGCUCAUGCACGAAAGCGUGGGGAGCAAACAGG
rnacentral:rRNA from 1 species